UGGGGAAUAUUGCACAAUGGGCGCAAGCCUGAUGCAGCCAUGCCGCGUGUAUGAAGAAGGCCUUCGGGUUGUAAAGUACUUUCAGCGGGGAGGAAGGGAGUAAAGUUAAUACCUUUGCUCAUUGACGUUACCCGCAGAAGAAGCACCGGCUAACUCCGUGCCAGCAGCCGCGGUAAUACGGAGGGUGCAAGCGUUAAUCGGAAUUACUGGGCGUAAAGCGCACGCAGGCGGUUUGUUAAGUCAGAUGUGAAAUCCCCGGGCUCAACCUGGGAACUGCAUCUGAUACUGGCAAGCUUGAGUCUCGUAGAGGGGGGUAGAAUUCCAGGUGUAGCGGUGAAAUGCGUAGAGAUCUGGAGGAAUACCGGUGGCGAAGGCGGCCCCCUGGACGAAGACAGACGCUAAGGUGCGAAAGCGUGGGGAGCAAACAGG
rnacentral:rRNA from 1 species